GACGAACGCUGGCGGCGUGCUUAACACAUGCAAGUCGAGCGAGCGGCUGACGGGUGAGUAAUGUAUGGGGAUCUGCCCGAUAGAGGGGGAUAACUACUGGAAACGGUAGCUAAUACCGCAUACCAUCAGAUGACCCCAGAUGGGAUUAGCUAGUAGGUGGGGUAAAGGCUCACCUAGGCGACGAUCCCUAGCUGGUCUGAGAGGAUGAUCAGCCACACUGGGACUGAGACACGGCCCAGACUCCUACGGGAGGCAGCAGUGGGGAAUAUUGCACAAUGGGCGCAAGCCUGAUGCAGCCAUGCCGCGUGUAUGAAGAAGGCCUUAGGGUUGUAAAGUACUUUCAGCGGGGAGGCGUUACCCGCAGAAGAAGCACCGGCUAACUCCGUGCCAGCCGCCGCGGUAAUAC
rnacentral:rRNA from 1 species